UACGAGGGGGGCAAGCGUUGUUCGGAAUUAUUGGGCGUAAAGAGCUCGUAGGCGGUUCGAUAAGUCGGACGUGAAAUCUCCACGCUCAACGUGGAGGGGCCGUUCGAUACUGUCGUGACUCGAGUCCGGUAGGGGAGUGUGGAAUUCCCGGUGUAGCGGUGAAAUGCGCAGAGAUCGGGAGGAACACCCGUAGCGAAGGCGGCACUCUGGGCCGGUACUGACGCUGAGGAGCGAAAGCGUGGGGAGUAAACAGG
rnacentral:rRNA from 1 species